AUACGUAGGGGGCGAGCAUUGUCCGGAAUGAUUGGGCGUAAAGGGCGCGUAGGCGGCGCGGUAAGUCUGGAGUGAAAGUCCUGCUUUCAAGGUGGGAAUUGCUUUGGAUACUGCCGCGCUUGAGUGCAGGAGAGGUUAUCGGAAUUCCCGGUGUAGCGGUGAAAUGCGUAGAGAUCGGGAGGAACACCAGUGGCGAAGGCGGGUAACUGGACUGCAACUGACGCUGAGGCGCGAAAGUGUGGGGAGCAAACAGGAUUAGAUACCCUGGUAGUCCACACUGUAAACGUUGAAUGCUAGGUGUAAGAGGUAUCGACCCCUUUUGUGCCGGAGUCAACACAAUAAGCAUUCCGCCUGGGGAGUACGGCCGCAAGGUUGAAACUCAAAUGAAUUGACGGGG
rnacentral:rRNA from 1 species